AACGAACGCUGGCGGCAGGCCUAACACAUGCAAGCCGAGCGCCCCGCAAGGGGAGCGGCAGACGGGUGAGUAACGCGUGGGAAACUACCCUUUGGUACGGAACAACUCGGCGAAAGCUGAGCUAAUACCGUAUGUGUCCUCCGGGAGAAAGAUUUAUCGCCAAAGGAUGUGCCCGCGUCGGAUUAGCUAGUUGGUGGGGUAACGGCCCACCAAGGCGACGAUCCGUAGCUGGUCUGAGAGGAUGAUCAGCCACACUGGGACUGAGACACGGCCCAGACUCCUACGGGAGGCAGCAGUGGGGAAUAUUGGACAAUGGGGGCAACCCUGAUCCAGCCAUGCCGCGUGAGUGAUGAAGGCCUUAGGGUUGUAAAGCUCUUUCGCCCGCGAAGAUAAUGACUGUAGCGGGAGAAGAAGCCCCGGCUAACUUCGUGCCAGCCGCCGCCGUAAAAC
rnacentral:rRNA from 1 species